rnacentral:rRNA from 1 species
AGAAUCGACGCUGGCGGCGUGCCUAACACAUGCAAGUCGAACGCGAAAGUCUCCUUCGGGAGAUGAGUAGAGUGGCGCACGGGUGAGUAACACGUGGGUAAUCUGCCUCGAGGUGGGGAAUAACGGCCCGAAAGGGUCGCUAAUACCGCAUAACGCAGCGGCACCGCAUGGUGACAGUUGUUAAAGGGGGGAUCUCGCAAGAGACCCUCUCGCCGCGAGAGGAGCCCGCGCCCGAUUAGCUUGUUGGCGAGGUAAGAGCUCACCAAGGCAACGAUCGGUAGCCGGCCUGAGAGGGCGGCCGGCCACGACUGGCACUGAGACACGGGCCAGACUCCUACGGGAGCAGCAGUGGGAAUUUGGGCAAUGGCGAAAGCCUGACCCAGCAACGCCGCGUGGAGGACGAAAUCCCUCUGGAUGUAAACUCCGAAAGUCAGGAAGAAUCCGUAUGGGAAUAGUCCAGUACGGAUGACGGUACCUGAUAUAAGCCCGGACUAACGUACGUGACG